GGCGUCUUGGAGAAGUGGUUAACUCACUCCCUUUGGGCUUAGGCAUAUUGGGAGAGGUCAGGGGUUCGAACCCCCUAGACGCCC
rnacentral:tRNA from 1 species